AUUGAACGCUGGCGGCAGGCCUAACACAUGCAAGUCGAACGGUAACAGGAAGAAGCUUGCUUCUUUGCUGACGAGUGGCGGACGGGUGAGUAAUGUCUGGGAAACUGCCUGAUGGAGGGGGAUAACUACUGGAAACGGUAGCUAAUACCGCAUAACGUCGCAAGACCAAAGAGGGGGACCUUCGGGCCUCUUGCCAUCGGAUGUGCCCAGAUGGGAUUAGCUAGUAGGUGGGGUAACGGCUCACCUAGGCGACGAUCCCUAGCUGGUCUGAGAGGAUGACCAGCCAUACUGGAACUGAGACACGGUCCAGACUCCUACGGGAGGCAGCAGUGGGGAAUAUUGCACAAUGGGCGCAAGCCUGAUGCAGCCAUGCCGCGUGUAUGAAGAAGGCCUUCGGGUUGUAAAGUACUUUCAGCGGGGAGGAAGGGAGUAAAGUUAAUACCUUUGCUCAUUGACGUUACCCGCAGAAGAAGCACCGGCUAACUCCGUG
rnacentral:rRNA from 1 species